rnacentral:rRNA from 1 species
AUUGAACGCUGGCGGCGUGCCUAACACAUGCAAGUCGAGCGGUAACAGGUGUAGCAAUACAUGCUGACGAGCGGCGAACGGGUGAGCAAUGCUUCGGAAUCUGCCCAAUGAUGGGGAAUAACCAGUCGAAAGAUUGGCUAAUACCGCAUACGCCCUACGGGGGAAAGCGGGGGUCGCAAGACCUCGCGUCGAUGGAUGAG